rfam:Eutrema salsugineum unplaced genomic scaffold scaffold_6, whole genome shotgun sequence.
AAUCCGUGGUGUGGACAAUCACAUUCAUACUCCUUAAAAUGCUCCCAAUCUUCAUAAAAAGAUUCAACCGGACUUUACUGGAACACUUUGGAUUUUUUUUCUCAGCAAGU